ACCCGCUGAACUUAAGCAUAUCAAUAAGCGGAGGAAAAGAAACCAACAGGGAUUGCCCUAGUAACGGCGAGUGAAGCGGCAAGAGCUCAAAUUUGAAAGCUGGCUCCUUUGGGGUCCGCAUUGUAAUUUGCAGAGGAUGCUUCGGGAGCGGCCCCCGUCUAAGUGCCCUGGAACGGGCCGUCAUAGAGGGUGAGAAUCCCGUCUGGGACGGGGUGUCCGCGCCUGUGUGAAGCUCCUUCGACGAGUCGAGUUGUUUGGGAAUGCAGCUCUAAAUGGGUGGUAAAUUUCAUCUAAAGCUAAAUAUUGGCCGGAGACCGAUAGCGCACAAGUAGAGUGAUCGAAAGAUGAAAAGCACUUUGAAAAGAGAGUUAAAAAGCACGUGAAAUUGUUGAAAGGGAAGCGCUUGCGACCAGACUCGCCCGCGGGGUUCAGCCGGCAUUCGUGCCGGUGUACUUCCCCGUGGGCGGGCCAGCGUCGGUUUGGGCGGCCGGUCAAAGGCCUCCGGAAUGUAUCGCCUCUCGGGGCGUCUUAUAGCCGGGGGUGCAAUGCGGCCUGCCUGGACCGAGGAACGCGCUUCGGCACGGACGCUGGCAUAAUGGUCGUAAGCGACCCGUCUUGAAACACGG
rnacentral:rRNA from 1 species